rfam:Gasterosteus aculeatus cont1.005588, whole genome shotgun sequence.
UUAAAAAUGCAAUGUAAGUCGCUUUGGAUAAAAGCGUCAGCUAAAUGACUUGUA